rnacentral:lncRNA from 1 species
AACACAACAUGCUUAUUCUGCCCCAUCUACUGUUUUCACCCUGCAAAUUUAUGAGGCUCUAUUAAUCUUCUGCCCUGCUGACUCUCUCUGUUGCAAAGUGUCAGCAGACUUUCGUACCUUGCUAAUGUACAAAGUGCUUCCUAUGAGUAAUAUCAGCAUUUUGCCUUUUAAUUGCACAUAUAAUUUUUAGGUCUUACAGCUAAUAAGGGAAUUGAGACCACAGUUCAUCAUUGUCUGGAAUGGUACUCCAGGGGUGUGGGGACUGUAGAAGCUCAGAGAAUAUACUUGUCCUCAUUCCAAGCAAUACUUUCUCUCAUUAUAACAGCCCCAUUCACACCAGUAUACUUACAGCCCAUUCUUCACUGGAUGCAAGAUGGGAAAAGCAAGGAGGUGACAGUGCAUGAAGUUCCUCAUGAAGGAUUUCUACUACAUUUCCAGCCAAAUUUCUCGUCUAAGGAUGAGAUGUCAACACUGUUUAUGAAUGACAGCAGUAGUGUAUGGAAGGCCACUGCCAAACAGUUUUAAGGUGCCAUUAUUUGUCUCCCCUCAAUGAAGAGUGCUAUUCGGACUGCAAGUGUUAACAUUGCCUUACCUCUCCAGCUAAAAAUAAAAUGAUUUCUG